GACGAACGCUGGCGGCGUGCUCAACACAUGCAAGUCGAACGGAAAGGCCCUGCUUUUGUGGGGUGCUCGAGUGGCGAACGGGUGAGUAACACGUGAGUAACCUGCCCUUGCCUUUGGGAUAACUUCAAGAAACUGGGGCUAAUACCGGAUAGGAGCUCCUGCUGCAUGGUGGGGGUUGGAAAGUUUCGGCGGUUGGGGAUGGACUCGCGGCUUAUCAGCUUGUUGGUGGGGGAGUGGCUUACCAAGGCUUUGACGGGUAGCCGGCCUGAGAGGGUGACCGGCCACAUUGGGACUGAGAUACGGCCCAGAGUCGUACGGGAGGCAGCAGUGGGGAAUAUUGCACAAUGGGCGGAAGCCUGAUGCAGCAACGCCGCGUGCGGGAUGACGGCCUUCGGGUUGGAAACCGCUUUCGCCUGUGACGAAGCGUGAGUGACGGUAAUGGGUAAAGAAGCACCGGCUAACUACGUG
rnacentral:rRNA from 1 species